UGAGUGCGAGCGGCUACGGCCGCGAAGUGGGUGAUGUCAAGCUUCCAAGAAAAGCCCUAUACCCGUUAAGGCAUGAUGGCCUGUACCCGAAACCGACACAGGUGGGGUGGUAGAGAAUACCGAGGGGCGCGAGGUAACUCUCUCUAAGGAACUCGGCAAAAUGGCCCCGUAACUUCGGGAGAAGGGGUGCCACCGCAAGGUGGUCGCAGUGAAGAGGCCCAGGCGACUGUUUACCAAAAACACAGGUCUCCGCUAAGUCGCAAGACGAUGUAUGGGGGCUGACGCCUGCCCAGUGCCGGAAGGUUAAGGAAGCUGGUCAGCGCAAGUGAAGCUGGCGACUGAAGCCCCGGUGAACGGCGGCCGUAACUAUAACGGUCCUAAGGUAGCGAAAUUCCUUGUCGGGUAAGUUCCGACCCGCACGAAAGGCGUAACGAUCUGGGCGCUGUCUCGGAGAGAGGCUCGGCGAAAUAGAAUUGUCUGUGAAGAUGCGGACUACGUGCACCCGGACAGAAAGACCCUAUGAAGCUUUACUGUAGCUUGGUAUUGUGCCCGGGCUCUGAAUGCGCAGGAUAGGUGGGAGGCUUUGAUCCAUGGCUUGCGGGUCAUGGUGAGCCAACGGUGAGAUACCACUCUUUCAGAGCUAGGGUUCUAACGGUCACCCGUCAUCCGGGGACCGGACAGUAUCAGGUGGGCAGUUUGACUGGGGCGGUCGCCUCCUAAAAGGUAACGGAGGCGCGCAAAGGUUUGCUCAGGCUGGUUGGAAAUCAGCCGACGAGUGCAAAAGCAGAAGCAAGCUUGACUGUGAGACCUACAAGUCGAACAGGGACGAAAGUCGGCUUUAGUGAUCCGACGGUUCUGAGUGGAAGGGCCGUCGCUCAACGGAUAAAAGUUACUCUAAGGAUAACAGGCUGAUCUCCCCCAAGAGUUCACAUCGACGGGGAGGUUUGGCACCUCGAUGUCGGCUCAUCGCAACCUGGGGCUGAAGUCGGUCCCAAGGGUUGGGCUGUUCGCCCAUUAAAGCGGUACGCGAGCUGGGUUCAGAACGUCGUGAGACAGUUCGGUCCAUAUCCGGUGCACGCGCAGGAACAUUGAGAGGAUUUCUCCCUAGUACGAGAGGACCGGGAGGAACGCACCUCUGGUGUGCCAGUUAUCGUGCCAACGGUAAACGCUGGGUAGCCAUGUGCGGAGUGGAUAACCGCUGAAAGCAUCUAAGUGGGUAGCCCACCUCAAGAUGAGUGUUCCCAUGGCAUAAGCCAGUAAGGUCACGGGAAGAACACCCGUUGAUAGGCUCUACGUGGAAGCCGGGUAACCGGUGAAGCGGAGGAGUACUAAUAGACCGAGGGCUUGACC
rnacentral:rRNA from 1 species